rnacentral:rRNA from 1 species
CCCUAAGGCGAGGCCGAAAGGCGUAGUCGAUGGGAAACAGGUUAAUAUUCCUGUACUUGGUGUUACUGCGAAGGGGGGACGGAGAAGGCUAUGUUGGCCGGGCGACGGUUGUCCCGGUUUAAGCGUGUAGGCUGAUUUUCCAGGCAAAUCCGGAAAAUCAAGGCUGAGGCGUGAUGACGAGGCACUACGGUGCUGAAGCAACAAAUGCCCUGCUUCCAGGAAAAGCCUCUAAGCAUCAGGUAACAUCAAAUCGUACCCCAAACCGACACAGGUGGUCAGGUAGAGAAUACCAAGGCGCUUGAGAGAACUCGGGUGAAGGAACUAGGCAAAAUGGUGCCGUAACUUCGGGAGAAGGCACGCUGAUAUGUAGGUGAAGCGACUUGCUCGUGGAGCUGAAAUCAGUCGAAGAUACCAGCUGGCUGCAACUGUUUAUUAAAAACACAGCACUGUGCAAACACGAAAGUGGACGUAUACGGUGUGACGCCUGCCCGGUGCCGGAAGGUUAAUUGAUGGGGUUAGCGGUAACGCGAAGCUCUUGAUCGAAGCCCCGGUAAACGGCGGCCGUAACUAUAACGGUCCUAAGGUAGCGAAAUUCCUUGUCGGGUAAGUUCCGACCUGCACGAAUGGCGUAAUGAUGGCCAGGCUGUCUCCACCCGAGACUCAGUGAAAUUGAACUCGCUGUGAAGAUGCAGUGUACCCGCGGCAAGACGGAAAGACCCCGUGAACCUUUACUAUAGCUUGACACUGAACAUUGAGCCUUGAUGUGUAGGAUAGGUGGGAGGCUUUGAAGUGUGGACGCCAGUCUGCAUGGAGCCGACCUUGAAAUACCACCCUUUAAUGUUUGAUGUUCUAACGUUGGCCCGUUAUCCGGGUUGCGGACAGUGUCUGGUGGGUAGUUUGACUGGGGCGGUCUCCUCCUAAAGAGUAACGGAGGAGCACGAAGGUUGGCUAAUCCUGGUCGGACAUCAGGAGGUUAGUGCAAUGGCAUAAGCCAGCUUGACUGCGAGCGUGACGGCGCGAGCAGGUGCGAAAGCAGGUCAUAGUGAUCCGGUGGUUCUGAAUGGAAGGGCCAUCGCUCAACGGAUAAAAGGUACUCCGGGGAUAACAGGCUGAUACCGCCCAAGAGUUCAUAUCGACGGCGGUGUUUGGCACCUCGAUGUCGGCUCAUCACAUCCUGGGGCUGAAGUAGGUCCCAAGGGUAUGGCUGUUCGCCAUUUAAAGUGGUACGCGAGCUGGGUUUAGAACGUCGUGAGACAGUUCGGUCCCUAUCUGCCGUGGGCGCUGGAGAACUGAGGGGGGCUGCUCCUAGUACGAGAGGACCGGAGUGGACGCAUCACUGGUGUUCGGGUUGUCAUGCCAAUGGCACUGCCCGGUAGCUAAAUGCGGAAGAGAUAAGUGCUGAAAGCAUCUAAGCACGAAACUUGCCCCGAGAUGAGUUCUCCCUGACUCCUUGAGAGUCCUGAAGGAACGUUGAAGACGACGACGUUGAUAGGCCGGGUGUGUAAGCGCAGCGAUGCGUUGAGCUAACCGGUACUAAUGAACCGUGAGGCUUAACCUU